rnacentral:lncRNA from 1 species
AUUCUGAGAACUACAAUCAACAAGACAGAAGAAGACUAGAUGAUGUUUCCUUUCCUGCCCAAUUUAUCUGGUUAAAACGUCUGAUACACUGUUGAAUAGAAGAGGCAAGGGCACAUGUUCAUGUCUUGUUCCUGAUAUUGGGAGAAAGCAUCCCGUUUUUCACCACAGAAACGGGGUUUCACCAUGUUAGCCAAGAUGGUCUCGAUCUCCUGACCUCGCGAUCCGCCCGCCUUGGCCUCCCAAAGUGCUGGGAUUAUGCAUUCUCUCUUUACAUCACAAUGACCAUGACCUUGGAUAUGGAGUCCACUCAAAAGUAAUCUGAACUAAUAAACAAAUUCUGCAAGGUUGAAGAAUACAAGGAGAUAUGGAAUCACCAAAGAAUACUGACACAGAAGAACCAAGUAGGAGAGUGUGCAAUUCCCAGUCUCAUAUCUCAUUACAAAACCAAACUAAACAAGGCAUUGGCACAAGAAUAGACAUACAGAUCAAUGGAACAGAACUGAGACCCCAGAAAUAAAACCAAGUGGUCAGCUGACUUUUUGAAAGCUUGCCAAGACCAUCAAAUGGGGAAAAAUUUUUUUAAUAUACGUUGCAGGGAUAAUUGGAUAUAAACAUCCAAAAGAAUGAACUUGGAUGCUUAUCUUGCACCAUAUGCAAAAAUAACUGAAAAUGAAUUCAAGGCUAUAACUAUUAACUCAGAAAAAAAAAA